AAAAACACGCUUUUAAAGUACAUCGAACUAAAAAGUUAAAAAUAAUUUUUAAAAUAAUUAUGAACAAAAAAUACUAGUAUUAUUGUGAUAAAAGCGUCGGGCGCUCAAUAUACGAAAAAUAUGGCACAAAGCACCCACGCUUUUAUCACAAUAAUACUAGUAUUUUUUGUUCAUAAUUAUUUUAAAAAUUAUUUUUAACUUUUUAGUUCGAUGUACUUUAAAAGCGUGUUUUUUUAGUUUUUUAAACUAUAUUUAUUUUUUACUUUUUAGUUUCAUGUUAUGAUAGUAGUUACUAUCAAUAUCAUGGUUGUUACGGGUAACGGGAAAUCAGGGUUCGAUUCUGGGGAGGGAGUCUGAGAAACGGCUACCACAUCCAAGGAAAGCAGCAGGCGCGUAAAUUACUCACUCCCGGAACGUGGAGGUAGUGACGAAAAAUGACGAUACGGAAAUCAUCCCUCGUAAUCGGAAUGAAUACUUUAUAUCUCUUAAUUAGAAUAAAUCGUGUUAAUAUAUUAAUUUUAAUAGUAAUUAGAAUAUAUAUAUUUAUACAAAUAAUGCGACUUAACUACGUAAAAGUAUCAUGCACUAAGUAUAGCUGUGUUUUAUGGCCGGGCGGGUCGGACUAACGUUAUACCCGAGGUAUAAACGGCGGUAGGAAUAUAUAUAUAUAUACGUAAGGCGCAUUAGACGCGGGCGUUAUUGGUCAGUCAAAAUAAAAAUUUGUUUACAUAUAUAUAAUAUUGAUGACAAGCACGCGUGUACGGGUACGAUAACUAAAAAUAAAUUUUUAUAGGAAUAGUGUACCGUCGUAUUGUGAGCGAGGCGUGGGGAGGGGUGAAUGCGUAUAACAGUCUAGUCUAGACAACGGAAUAUGCGAUAACGCGUGGCGUUUGGAGAGUUACAAACUUACAAACAAACAACAAACAACAAACAACAACAAACUACACGUGAAACUAAUAAAAGCGUGUUAAAAAUAGCAUAUUUCCUAUUAAAACCCAUCUAAAAAUGAAAUUUAAAAUAAGAAAAUAUAUGCAUUAAAAACCCUAGUUUAAUUGACAGCUGCAACCAACAUGAAACCAUUGGUCCCAAGUCUUAUACAAAUCUUGAGAAUCUAUGUCAUGUACAAGAUAUGAAAUAUACACAUACAAAUAAUUUGAAUAUAGAAUUGUUAAAUGAUAUUCAAAACACUGCCACUUUUGUUGAAAACCUUGAUACUGAAUUUGACUUUCAAGAUAAAACUGAUGCAGGUUUUAAACAGUAUACAAAUAUUGAGAGUUUCCAAGAUAAUAUAGCUUUACCUUUAACAGUUGAGAAUUAUAAUAUUACUAAUACUGACUAUAAUGAGAUUUGUGUUGGAAAUAAUAAUAUUGAGAAUUGUGAUGGAAAUUCUAAUAGUGGUCAAAAUUAAGGAUCGAUUAAUUUCUCAAAUGCAACAGUUUCUUCAGAAUCAGACAUUUUUGGAAAUACUAUGAACAAUGAAUAUGAUAGUGGAGUAUCACACAUUUCAGGUAGUGAUAUCCAUGAUGAAAUAGGAACUGGUGUAACUAAAAAAGGAACAAAGAGGAAGCGCCGUCGUUAUACAACUACUAUUACUGAAAGGAACAAUAUGAAAAUGCAAUUAAAACGUGAUAAGCAUAAGCUACGGUCCCCCUGUUGUAUAACUUGUAAAAAAAAUUGUAUACAACAUAUUCCUGAAAGUUUGAGGACCGAAAUAAAUAUGCAGUACUGAACUCUUUCAAAAAAAGAACAAUAGUUAUUUGUUGUGAGCUCAAUUGAAAGAAAAUGUGUACAGCGUCGUAGAGGAGUAGUUAAUAAUGAAAAAAAAGGAAUUGGUCAUUUUCUUAUUUAUUGAAAAACUCAGAUGGGUCAUUUAAAUAUGUAUGUAAGCAAUUUUAUUUAGCAACUUUGGGAUUUUCCAAGAACAAUGACUCUUUUAUUCAAAAAAUUUGUUCAAGCAGUGAAAAUAAUAGUUUUAUAAUUGUAUCUCCAUCAAAUAAUUCUAAACGAGAACCGUGGAACAAAAUAGAUGUAGAACCAAUUAAGUCUCAUAUAAAUUCAUUCAAUCCUUCAGUUGCACAUUAUAGAAGAGAGCAUGCACCUUUAAAAAAAUAUUUGUCAAAUGAAAUUACAGUCACAUCUAUGUUGUCUGACUUUCAAGAAAAAAAUCCUGAUUUUAAGUGUUCAUAUGAUAUGUAUAGGCAAGUAUUAAAGAAAAUGAAUAUAUCAUUUACAAAACUUGGACAUGAAGAGUGUGAGUUAUGUGAAACUUUCUUUCAACAUGACCCAAAUCAUAAUAGACAUAAUGCUCAAGAAAACAGUGACUGUGAUGGAUGUAAAAAAUAGUCAUUUCAUUUUGAAAUGUACACAAACGCCCGCAUUAAAUAUGAUGAACAAUAAAAAAAAACCAAAAAUGGAGAUGAAUUGUAUGUAUCGGUCGACUUACAAAAAGUCAUCAUGUUACCAAGAAUGGACAAUUUCAAAGCUGCAAUUUUCACAAAGAGGGUCAUAGCAUUUAAUGAAAGAUUUAUUCCAGUCGGACCUAGAAGUUCAAUUAAACUCUUGGCAGUAAUAUGGCAUGAAGGAAUAAGUGGUAGAAAACAAGAAGACUUGACAAGUUGUUACUAUGCUUUUUUUUUAUUUUACAAAAACAUGAAAAAAAUAACUAUUUGGUUAGACAACUGUUCUGCUUAAAAUAAGAAUUAGUGCUUGUUUACAUUUUUAAUUUUUAUGAUUAAUUCUCAAGAACUUGAAACUAUGGUGAUCGAUAUUUUCUAUUUUCAACCAGGCCAUAGUUUUAUGUCUGCGGAUUCAUUCCACCAUCAGGUUGAACUUUCCAUGAAACAAAUGGGUAAAAUCUAUGACUUUUGUGAUUAUGAAAAAUCAAUAAAGAAUUCAAAUAAAGGCCAUGUUGAUGUUAAAGUAUUAGAUGGCAAAGAUUUUUUUGAUUGGAAGUCAGAAUGCUCUAUUUAUAAAUUAAAAAAAAAUAUUAAUCGUCCAAUGUUGAAUAGCUUAGUUCAUAUAAGAGCGGAAAGAGGACUCAAAUACUUAUUAUAUUCUUGUACAUAUGAUGAGUAUACUCCAUUAAGAAUGCUAGACUUUUUAAAACCUUCAUAUUUAAAAAAUGAUUUUGUAAGACCACAGCAAAAAAAUGAAUUAAGAGGCAUUUAACCAGAAAAAAAACAAAGUAUUAUACAAACACUAGUCCCACUUAUGCCUAAGAGCAGACAUCAAUUUUGGUUUGAUUUUCCUACAUCAGAUUUAGUCAAUGACUUAUAUGAAGAAUCUGAAAAUUAGAAACUGCUAUAUGAAAUUGUAUAAUAUGAUAAAUUGUGAUAAAAACCNAUA